rnacentral:rRNA from 1 species
CUUGGUGACUUAGCGAUGGGGACACACCCGUUCUCAUUCCGAACACGGAAGUUAAGCUCAUUUGCGCCGAUGGUACCUGCCUUUACCGGUCGGGAGAGUAGGUAGUCGCCAGGA